GCCUUAUUAACUCAGUCGGUAGAGUGUCUGGCUGUUAACCAGAGAGUCGUUGGUUCGAGUCCAACAUAAGGCGCCA
rnacentral:tRNA from 2 species